CCUCCUAAUAAGCUCUAUGGGACGUUAGCUCGCGAAAACGCGUGGCCGUCUUCGUCGUCGCGCUACCACCGAGCCGCUACGAUCCUUAAAGCAUCGUAGCGACGAUCGACGCAGGACUACUGUGAAAUUCAUUCCGAGAGGAUUUUAGGGAGGAGGAACGAUUUUGGAUUCGUGGUGGAGAAGGGAUGAGAUGAGGUGGAAGAAUUUGAAAAGAAGUUGCAAGAAUAAGAAGAUUUGCUCCUAAAACGUGUAUGUAUGUAUGUUUUGAUGAGGAGAAAAGAGUGUGGAAGGAUCAGUUUUGGGAUUAAGGAGAAAGGUUUGUGAGAUUUGAAAAAAGUAACUUUAAAGGAAAUUGUAAUGAAUUGUAAUUUUUUAACAAUUUGAAAUUUGAUAAUUUUACUUAGUUAAUAGUUAUUUAUAAAAAUAUUCGCAGCAUAUAAUUUCAAUGUGUAUACGUAACAGAUAUAUUCAUUCUUUCUGGGUGAGUAAGUGUAUGUCGCUUAAUGUUUAAAUUCUAAACAAGUGAAUACAAGUGAAAUAGGUGGACGAUUGUGUCACGAUUAAUAAUGAUUCCAUGUAAAAGAUAUAAUUUAUCAUACAUUUUUUUUUUUUUGUAUUAAACUAAACGUGCGUUAUCGUAAAUUAUACCGUAUAAAGAAGAAGACGAUACAUUGGAAUUACAUAAGAAUUUAAGUUAAAUGAUCCUUUGCACAUCUGCAAUUGGUUUAUAUUAAAAUUUCGUUAUUUUAAUAUAAAAAAAAAAAAAAGAAAAAAGUAUAAGAAGAAUAUCGAAACUAUGAAUUCUUUGACUCAUUCAACGUUCGAUGAAAAGAAAACAAUGCGAGACGAUGUUUAUUUUUUAUCUUCUAAAAAAAAUAUAAAGGAAUUCAGAGCCAAAUAUAAUUUUUUUUUUUUUUUUUCUUAGAAGAAAGUGUUAAUGGAUGAAGUUGAAAAAUACAUACAGUUUUCAUACGCGAAGAUCGUUUCAAUAAAAACGAUUAGCACAAAUGCAUUCGUAUGACUAUAAUUGUUCGCGUAAAUAUUCAAAUCUAUGCCAUGAAUAUUAAAUUAUUCAUGACUCAAUAAAAACCGUGUGGGCUCCGAGCGUUUCGAUUUAUUAUUUUUCCAUGAUCUACGGAUCUUUUCCUUUGCGAUGAUGUAAUUAACUUGAUGUAAGUAGCUAAGCACAAAUAUCAAUUCACAUUCGUAAA